rnacentral:rRNA from 1 species
UACGUAGGGGGCAAGCGUUAUCCGGAAUUACUGGGUGUAAAGGGAGCGUAGACGGUAAUGUAAGUCUGGAGUGAAAGGCGGGGGCCCAACCCCCGGACUGCUCUGGAAACUAUGUUACUAGAGUGCAGGGGAGGUAAGCGGAAUUCCUAGUGUAGCGGUGAAAUGCGUAGAUAUUAGGAGGAACACCAGUGGCGAAGGCGGCUUACUGGACUGUAACUGACGUUGAGGCUCGAAAGCGUGGGGAGCAAACAGG